AAAGUAGCAAUAGCAAUCCAGUAGGUGCUAUAAAUCGCUCCAUUAGUAGUUUAUCCCUCCAAGGGCAGAAGCAGAGACAAAUUGGCAACCUAGGACUGAUUCAUACCCAAUAUAUAAUCCUGAGGUAAGUCUUCGUUAUUAUUAUUAUUUUUAUAUAGUGCCAACAAAUUCCAUAGCGCUUUACAAUGGGUGGACUAACAAACAUGUAAUUGUUACCAGACUCCAUGAGCUUACAUGCUAGAGGUAGUGGGGUAAAGUGACACAAAAGGUAAGGACAGUAUCAGAGAAGUAGAUUGGUAGAAUAGU